rnacentral:rRNA from 1 species
AACGAACGCUGGCGGCAUGCCUAACACAUGCAAGUCGAACGAGACCUUCGGGUCUAGUGGCGCACGGGUGCGUAACGCGUGGGAACCUGCCCUUAGGUUCGGAAUAACUCCCCGAAAGGGGUGCUAAUACCGGAUAAUGUCUUCGGACCAAAGAUUUAUCGCCUUUGGAUGGGCCCGCGUUGGAUUAGCUAGUUGGUAGGGUAAAAGCCUACCAAGGCGACGAUCCAUAGCUGGUCUGAGAGGAUGAUCAGCCACACUGGGACUGAGACACGGCCCAGACUCCUACGGGAGGCCGCAGUGGGGACUAUUGGACAAUGGGCGAAAGCCUGAUCCAGCACUGCCGCGUGAGUGAUGAAGGCCUUAGGGUUGUAAAGCUCUUUUACCCGGGAUGAUAAUGACCGUACCGGGAGAAUAAGCUCCGGCUAACUCCGU